rnacentral:rRNA from 1 species
GACGAACGCUGGCGGCGUGCCUAACACAUGCAAGUCGAACGAAACUUCCUUAAAGGAUUUCUUCGGAAUGAAUUUGAUUAAGUUUAGUGGCGGACGGGUGAGUAACGCGUGAGUAACCUGCCUCUAAGAGGGGAAUAACAUUCUGAAAAGAAUGCUAAUACCGCAUAAUAUAUAUUUAUCGCAUGGUAGAUAUAUCAAAGAUUUAUCGCUUAGAGAUGGACUCGCGUCCGAUUAGUUAGUUGGUGAGGUAACGGCUCACCAAGACCGCGAUCGGUAGCCGGACUGAGAGGUUGAACGGCCACAUUGGGACUGAGACACGGCCCAGACUCCUACGGGAGGCAGCAGUGGGGGAUAUUGCGCAAUGGGGGAAACCCUGACGCAGCAACGCCGCGUGAAGGAUGAAGGUCUUCGGAUUGUAAACUUCUUUUAUUAAGGACGAAGAAAGUGACGGUACUUAAUGAAUAAGCUCCGGC